rnacentral:tRNA from 2 species
GUUGGUAGAGCAGAGGACUGAAAAUCCUCGUGU